UUGGACAAUGGGCGCAAGCCUGAUCCAGCCAUACCGCGUGGGUGAAGAAGGCUUCGGGUUGUAAAGCCCUUUUGUUGGGAAAGAAAUCCAGCCGGCUAAUACCUGGUUGGGAUGACGGUACCCAAAGAAUAAGCACCGGCUAACUUCGUGCCAGCAGCCGCGGUAAUACGAAGGGUGCAAGCGUUACUCGGAAUUACUGGGCGUAAAGCGUGCGUAGGUGGUCGUUUAAGUCCGUUGUGAAAGCCCUGGGCUCAACCUGGGAACUGCAGUGGAUACUGGGCGACUAGAGUGUGGUAGAGGGUAGCGGAAUUCCUGGUGUAGCAGUGAAAUGCGUAGAGAUCAGGAGGAACAUCCAUGGCGAAGGCAGCUACCUGGACCAAYACUGACACUGAGGCACGAAAGCGUGGGGAGCAAACAGGAUUAGAUACCCUGGUAGUCCACGCCCUAAACGAUGCGAACUGGAUGUUGGGUGYWWUUUGGCACGCAGUAU
rnacentral:rRNA from 1 species